UACGAAGGGGACUAGCGUUGCUCGGAAUCACUGGGCGUAAAGCGCACGUAGGCGGAUUGUUAAGUCAGGGGUGAAAUCCUGGAGCUCAACUCCAGAACUGCCUUUGAUACUGGCGAUCUCGAGUCCGGGAGAGGUGAGUGGAACUGCGAGUGUAGAGGUGAAAUUCGUAGAUAUUCGCAAGAACACCAGUGGCGAAGGCGGCUCACUGGCCCGGUACUGACGCUGAGGUGCGAAAGCGUGGGGAGCAAACAGG
rnacentral:rRNA from 1 species